rnacentral:rRNA from 1 species
GAUGAACGCUAGCGACAGGCUUAACACAUGCAAGUCGAGGGGCAGCAUAAAAGUAGCAAUACUUUGGUGGCGACCGGCGCACGGGUGAGUAACGCGUAUGCAACCUACCUAUCAGAGGGGAAUAACCCGGCGAAAGUCGGACUAAUACCGCAUAAAACAGGGGCACCGCAUGGUGAUAUUUGUUAAAGAAAUUCGCUGAUAGAUGGGCAUGCGUUCCAUUAGGUAGUUGGUGAGGUAACGGCUCACCAAGCCGACGAUGGAUAGGGGAACUGAGAGGUUGGUCCCCCACACUGGUACUGAGACACGGACCAGACUCCUACGGGAGGCAGCAGUGAGGAAUAUUGGUCAAUGGGCGGGAGCCUGAACCAGCCAAGUCGCGUGAAGGAAGAAGGAUCUAUGGUUCGUAAACUUCUUUUGCAGGGGAAUAAAGUGCGGGACGUGUCCUGUUUUGUAUGUACCCUGAGAAUAAGGAUCGGCUAACUCCGUGCCAGCAGCCGCCGCGGUAA